AUGGAGGAAAAGAAACCAACAGGGAUUCCCCUAGUAACGGCGAGUGAAGCGGGAACAGCUCAAAUUUGAAAUCUGGCCCUUGGGUCCGAGUUGUAAUUUGUAGAGGAUGCUUUUGGUGCGGUGCCUUCCGAGUUCCCUGGAACGGGACGCCUUAGAGGGUGAGAGCCCCGUACGGUUGGACGCCUAGCCUCUGUAAAGCUCCUUCGACGAGUCGAGUAGUUUGGGAAUGCUGCUCUAAAUGGGAGGUAUAUUUCUUCUAAAGCUAAAUACUGGCCAGAGACCGAUAGCGCACAAGUAGAGUGAUCGAAAGAUGAAAAGCACUUUGAAAAGAGGGUUAAAUAGCACGUGAAAUUGUUGAAAGGGAAGCGUUUAUCACCAGACUUUUUCUGGGGGGAUCAUCCGGUGUUCUCACCGGUGCACUUCCCCCAGUUGAGGCCAGCAUCGGUUUUCGGAGGGGGAUAAAAGCUUCGGGAAUGUGACUCCCUCGGGAGUGUUAUAGCCCGUUGCAUAAUACCCUUCUGGGGACCGAGGUUCGCGCAUCUGCAAGGAUGCUGGCAUAAUGGUGAUCAACGACCCGUCUUGA
rnacentral:rRNA from 1 species